rnacentral:rRNA from 1 species
UACGAGGGGGGCAAGCGUUGUUCGGAAUUAUUGGGCGUAAAGGGCGCGUAGGCGGUGCGGUAAGUCACCUGUGAAACCUCUAGGCUCAACCUAGAGCCUGCAGGCGAAACUGCCGUGCUUGAGGGUGGGAGAGGUGCGUGGAAUUCCCGGUGUAGCGGUGAAAUGCGUAGAUAUUGGGAGGAACACCAGUGGCGAAGGCGGCUCACUGGACCGGUACUGACGCUGAGGCGCGAAAGCGUGGGUAGCAAACAGG